AUGGAUGCAAGUGCAAGGGCAAGCUUCCUCAAGAAGAUGCAUGAAGAUACAAGGGCAGCAAUCGAGCAUCAAGUACAUCGCAUCACCAACAAGCUCAACAUCAACAAGACACUAAUGGUGUUCCAGCCGGGAGAUCUCAUAUGGCUUCAUCUUCGCAAGGACCGCUUCCCCAACGAGAGCAUGUCAAAACUACUACCACGAGCCGACGGACCAUUCAAGGUGCUAGCACGCUACAAUGACAACACUUACAAUAUUGACAUCCCACGCGACAAGUACAACUUAAGCGACAUCUUCAAUGUCAAAUACUUGGCCAAGUACCAUGGUAAUGAAGAUCUUGUCCGUGCACGGAUCUCUCCCAACGGAGGGGGGAGACAUGAUGUGGAGCAUCCUUCCAUCAUCCCCCUGGACUCUACACCAACACAUCAAGCCCCACGUGGACCCAUGACAAGAGCUAGAGCACGCGCAAUCGAAAUCGAGGUGAACUCUUUCCUACUAGACAUGCAUAUGGAUACAAGUGGAACUUGGUUGCUACCUCACCAAAAUUCUCUAUGUGUCAUUAGGUACGAAGAGGAGCAUUCCCAAUCAGCUAAGGAGCAUCACCAAGGAGUAGUAGAACCACCCCAAGUCCACACAAAGGAAGGAGAAGACAAAAAAGCAGCUGGACAGGAAGUCCAAGGCGACCCCGUGCGCACAGGCCCCCGAGACCCCGUGCCCACAGACUAUCCAAGGAGUUGGCGUUGCAGCACCCCACGCGCACGGGUGUGUACCGCGCCCACGGGACCCCCGUGCGCACGGGCCCAACUUACCCCAUGUGCACGGGCCCUACAGGAUGGGCGGCUGAGAUUGUGUUUUGGACCUCCUCUCCUUCCACUUAGACCCCAAGCCUAUAUAUUCUAUACCUAG
rnacentral:rRNA from 1 species